GACGAACGCUGGCGGCGUGCCUAACACAUGCAAGUCGAACGGAAAGGCCCUGCUUUUGUGGGGUGCUCGAGUGGCGAACGGGUGAGUAACACGUGAGUAACCUGCCCUUGACUUUGGGAUAACUUCAGGAAACUGGGGCUAAUACCGGAUAGGAGCUCCUGCUGCAUGGUGGGGGUUGGAAAGUUUCGGCGGUUGGGGAUGGACUCGCGGUUUAUCAGCUUGUUGGUGGGGUAGUGGCUUACCACGGCUUCGACGGGUAGCCGGCCUGAGAGGGUGACCGGCCACAUUGGGCCUGCGAUACGGCCCAGACGGCAACGGGAGGCAGCAGUGGGGAAUAGUGCACAAUGGGCGGAAGCCUGAUGCAGCAACGCCGCGUGCGGGAUGACGGCCUUCGGGUUGUAAACCGCUUUAGCCUGUGACGAAGCGUGAGUGACGGUAAUGGGUAAAGAAGCACCGGCUAACUACGUG
rnacentral:rRNA from 1 species